rnacentral:rRNA from 1 species
UACGUAGGUGGCGAGCGUUGUCCGGAUUUACUGGGCGUAAAGGAUGCGUAGGCGGAUAUUUAAGUGAGAUGUGAAAUACCCGAGCUUAACUUGGGUGCUGCAUUUCGAACUGGAUAUCUAGAGUGUGGGAGAGGAGAAUGGAAUUCCUAGUGUAGCGGUGAAAUGCGUAGAGAUUAGGAAGAACACCAGUGGCGAAGGCGAUUCUCUGGACCAUAACUGGCGCUGAGGCAUGAAAGCGUGGGGAGCAAACAGG